rnacentral:rRNA from 1 species
GAACACGGAAGUUAAGCUCUUCAGCGCCGAUGGUAGUUGGGGGUUUCCCCCUGUGAGAGUAGGACGCCGCCAAGC